rnacentral:rRNA from 1 species
UACGGAGGGUGCAAGCGUUAUCCGGAUUCACUGGGUUUAAAGGGUGUGUAGGCGGAUAUUUAAGUCAGUGGUGAAAUCUCCAGGCUCAACCUGGAAACUGCCAUUGAUACUAUUUAUCUUGAAUUCUGUUGAGGUGGGCGGAAUACAUCAUGUAGCGGUGAAAUGCUUAGAUAUGAUGUAGAACACCGAUUGCGAAGGCAGCUCACUAAGCAGACAUUGACGCUGAGGCACGAAAGCGUGGGGAUCAAACAGG